GUAGCGCUUAAUAUUUUUACAAUGAAAUUUUUAGUAAGAUCAAAUUGUUAUAUUAGUCGUUAAUCUUUUUAUCAUUGAAAAAUCUGGUAAUGUGAUGAUUUAUAUUGCACUAUAUCUUUGCAAGAAAAGAGAACAAUUAGCAACUUGGCGUAGUUUAUUACUCAAGCCAGUGCGGAUCCACCACUUUUGCCUAUGCAUUUUUCUCAAAGUCAACCAAGAAAGGAUAAGACUAGUUUAUUCUUAAUGUGAGGACAUGAUGGACACAAACACUCUUGUCCCGAUGAACACAAGUUUUGAAAUUUUUAGAUUAUAUUGUACGGGUCACAACUUCGUUCGUGGCCUGCACCUCCAUCCAUUGUUGAAAGGUCUCUGCGGUGCACUUGCCUGGAUUUGAUAAAGAAGUAAGGUAUGUUGAAACACAAGCCGUAGUUUUCACACUUAGUUUCUAAAUACAUAUUGCUCAACAUGUAUAUAUUUUAUAUCCUCCACUUUUAUUUCUUAGGCUAGCUCAACACGCCCAUUUAUGCACUAAUUUUGUUCUUUUCAACGCACACAACUCUGUCAUAUCCAUGACUAUAAAACGUGUCUAGCACGUACUCCAGUAAGGUACAGCGGUAAUUUUUCAUUAGUUAUAACAUAUAUAAAUAUAGGUACUACUCCCUCCGUCCC
rnacentral:lncRNA from 1 species